AUGGUGGCCGGGCCGGGGCCGGGGCUGCUGGCCUUGGCCUUGGCCUUGUGGCCGGCAGGGCUCUGGGCACAGCCGAGGCUGCAGGAGGCCGGCGGAGGGCAGCGAGCGCCCGGGGACUCCGUCACCCUCUCCUGCCGCGGAUCCGGAUUCACCUUUAGGGAUUAUGGAAUUUAUUGGUACCGUCAGUCACCCGAAGGCCGGCUGGAGUGGAUGUCUGUUAUUAGUUUUGAUCCCACUGUUUUUUAUUUUGACCAGUCAGUGCAGGGGCGGGCCAAGAUUUCCCGGGACAAUUCCCGGUCCGAGGUUUAUCUCUCCCUGCUGACCCUGCAGCCCCGCGACUCUGCCCGGUAUUUCUGCGCUGUUCACACGGGGACAGGAAACCCAGCUGGGCUUUAACACAAACCUGCUCGGGCCUGGCUCAGCACCCAAGAAAUUUGGAGAUGGUGAAUUCCAAAGAGGUUCAGGGCUGUUCCUAAGAAAUCAGGUGCCAUCCCCACGCAGCACCAGUGAUCCUGGCCUUUCAUCAAGAGCUCCUUUCCCAGCACUGACGCUUUCCUUCUCCUGAGUCCCAACUGCAAUGUUCUACGCUACAGAAGAGGUUCAAGGUUUUUCAGUCAUGCAGUCAGCCUGGUGACUGUCUGGCUCCAGUCUCUUCUUAAGUGGAACAUGCAAAGCACCUGCAGAGUCCUGGGCUGCCUUUGCUGCAGGGCAGGGUCCGGGAGGGCUUAGAGAGGAAGAAGCAUCUGGAGAAGUGUCAUCACUGGGGAGCCAGGAAGGUGCAGGGCCAGAGUGCAGGGAGGAGGGUGAGGAGAACUUUGGACAAGGGGUGCCCUGGCCAAGCCAAGAUGAGAUCCUGGGGUGUCCCAUGUGGGAGCAGCAGCCCAGCAGAGCCAGAGCCAGGGGAAGGACAAGCUGACAGCCCCCCUGGUCACCUCCAAAGUCCCAGAGCCUGCGAGACACUCUGAGAGAAAAGCCAGGGCUGGCCCCUCAGAACCACAUCACCUUUAGCCCAA